rnacentral:lncRNA from 1 species
AGCAUGGAUUUAACUGAAAAAUAAAGCUGAAUCUCAUCUCCUUUUGAGAGAUAAUGGUGCAAUUACCUGAGUCUUGUAGCUGGCUGACGUUUUCCAUGCAAAUGUGAAGUGUUUCCAUGAAGAUUUUGUGCUGUGACCAAUUAUCUUCAGGAAAUAGCCUUGCUGUAAUUGCCAGCCUAAAAUGGAGUUAAUUAAGAAGGUCUUCGUAGGACUGCAAGCUUCCCUACUGGGCAAAUUUAAGGUUGUUGAAAAGAUGACCAUCUUCUGGAAGGCCACCGGGAAAACUAUAAUGGAAGUUCAAGGACAAGCCUGGGUGCUACAUCAAACAAAGAUGAGCUAACUUAAAGUACAGAAGAAAAGCACAUGCCAGAACACUUUUUUAAGUUAGAAGAAGUUAGAAGAAAAGCACAUGCCAGAACACUUUUUCCUGACUGGAAAAUAGUCACAAAGAUUAAAAACAUUGAAAUAAAAAGAAAAAAGAAGAAGAAAGAAAUUAAAAA